rnacentral:rRNA from 1 species
AUGAGGAAUGCUAACAGGGAGGCCCUAACGGCCCUCCGGAAAAAAGCCAAGACAACUAAAACCAGUGUCCCAUCUCCAUUUGAGAUCGUAAUGAAAGAGAUGGAAGGAACUUCCGCCAAACAGCUAGUGAAGGAGAUAUGCUCAACUUGCGGGAAUCACGACCCCAAAGAACAUACCUGGCUAAUGUUUCCAGGCUCAGAUAUUUUGGCUCGUGUUCCAUUUCAUGUAGCGCACACUGUUCUGGAUAAAGGACCGUUUCCACUUCAACGUUCAAAAUUGGAUCUCUUUCUGUUUGAACCCUCCAUCAACUAUAUAUAUGCUUGUGUGCCCGAAUGGAAGCACACCCGACGACGCACGAGCUGGUUCAAGCUCGUGGCGUGGCGGAGCCAUGUGCGAUCAAGAGCAUCUAGACUACGAGACCAAGAAGCUGCAAAGCUUUGUCAAGGAGAAAUCGUUUGUGAUCUCCAAGAAAGGCGCCCUCGCGGACAAGAUCAGCCCGGGCAUCGUGAGAUCCCUCGUCAGCCUUGCAGAUAA